UACGUAUGGUGCAAGCGUUAUCCGGAUUUACUGGGUGUAAAGGGAGCGCAGGCGGCACGCUAAGCCUGAUGUGAAAACCCGCGGCCCAACCGCGGGAGUGCAUUGGGAACUGGCGGGCUGGAGUACCGGAGGGGCAGGCGGAAUUCCUAGUGUAGCGGUGAAAUGCGUAGAUAUUAGGAGGAACACCAGUGGCGAAGGCGGCCUGCUGGACGGAGACUGACGCUGAGGCUCGAAAGCGUGGGGAGCAAACAGG
rnacentral:rRNA from 1 species